UGGGGAAUAUUGCACAAUGGGCGCAAGCCUGAUGCAGCCAUGCCGCGUGUGUGAAGAAGGCCUUCGGGUUGUAAAGCACUUUCAGCGAGGAGGAAGGUGGUGAGCUUAAUACGCUCAUCAAUUGACGUUACUCGCAGAAGAAGCACCGGCUAACUCCGUGCCAGCAGCCGCGGUAAUACGGAGGGUGCAAGCGUUAAUCGGAAUUACUGGGCGUAAAGCGCACGCAGGCGGUUUGUUAAGUCAGAUGUGAAAUCCCCGGGCUCAACCUGGGAACUGCAUUUGAAACUGGCAAGCUAGAGUCUCGUAGAGGGGGGUAGAAUUCCAGGUGUAGCGGUGAAAUGCGUAGAGAUCUGGAGGAAUACCGGUGGCGAAGGCGGCCCCCCUGGACGAAGACUGACGCUCAGGUGCGAAAGCGUGGGGCAGCAAACAGGAUUAGAUACCCUGGUAGUCCAGCGCUGUAAACGAUGUCGAUUUGGAGGUUGUGCCCUUGAGGCGUGGCUUCCGGAGCUAACGCGUUAAAUCGACCGCCUGGGGAGUACGGCCGCAAGGUUAAAACUCAAAGG
rnacentral:rRNA from 1 species